AGUGAACGCUGGCGGUAGGCCUAACACAUGCAAGUCGAACGGCAGCACAGUAAGAGCUUGCUCUUACGGGUGGCGAGUGGCGGACGGGUGAGGAAUACAUCGGAAUCUACUUUUUCGUGGGGGAUAACGUAGGGAAACUUACGCUAAUACCGCAUACGACCUACGGGUGAAAGCAGGGGAUCUUCGGACCUUGCGCGAUUGAAUGAGCCGAUGUCGGAUUAGCUAGUUGGCGGGGUAAAGGCCCACCAAGGCGACGAUCCGUAGCUGGUCUGAGAGGAUGAUCGGCCACACUGGAACUGAGACACGGUCCAGACUCCUACGGGAGGCAGCAGUGGGGAAUAUUGGACAAUGGGCGCAAGCCUGAUCCAGCCAUACCGCGGGGGUGAAGAAGGCCUUCGGGUUGUAAAGCCCUUUUGUGGGGAAAGAAAAGCAGCAGGUUAAUACCCCGCUGUUCUGACGGUACCCAAAGAAUAAGCACCGGCUAACUUCGU
rnacentral:rRNA from 1 species